rnacentral:lncRNA from 1 species
CUGGAGCUGUGCGGACUGAGACUGAGAUGCAUCGCUGAAACUCUCUUUAGGUGUUCCCUACCAUUUCUUCUUGGAAAAGAAGGUUUUACCUCCUGGGAUUUUUGAGAACCUCUAACUUCUCCAUUGGGGACCAUCUCCAGGUACCACCAAAAAAGAGCACAACAGCAGCCUUGCGGAUAAGUCCUGGUCUGGAGUCAGCCACCGCUGCACACACCACUCAGAGCUGCAUCAUCGGGUUACCCCUGGAAAGGCUGCCCACACACCCACAUCCAGGGGUGUCUCGUCACUGCUGACGACUAGCACGGAACCUGAAAGCUCAGCAUGAGAUGAAGUGGCUGGAGGCACGUGAGUCCUGCACUGAUAGAGGCCGGUUCUGUCAAGCCUCACCUGGAUGAUGUGUGUGACUCUUCCCAUAGAAAGGAGCAGGCUCUCUCAUGAAGCCUCCAUUCUAGCAUUUUGUGAUCAUCUAUGACCUUAGAGGGGUCCUCUAUAACCCUGAGUCCCAAACAGGUGAAUACAGAGUGGGCUCACACUUAUUUCUCCAUUAUUCCUGUGUUCUUUCAGGAGGCUGACCAUCAAACCUACUUAGAAGUCAGACCUUGAAUGUAAGUACAUGUUGUUCAUUAUCUAUAUCUUUUGCAUGACAGAAUGUCAGUUAUAGGAUAAAUAACAGAGGGUAGGCUGUGUACCAAGUCAUGGUGACA